CAGGGAAGAAAAAAAUGACGGUACCUGAGGAAUAAGCAUCGGCUAACUCCGUGCCAGCAGCCGCGGUAAUACGGAGGAUGCAAGCGUUAUCCGGAAUGAUUGGGCGUAAAGGGUCCGCAGGUGGCUAUGUAAGUCUGCUGUUAAAGAAUGAGGCUUAACCUCAUCAAAGCAGUGGAAACUACACAGCUAGAGUGCGUUCGGGGUAGAGGGAAUUCCUGGUGUAGCGGUGAAAUGCGUAUAUAUCAGGAAGAACACCGGUGGCGAAAGCGCUCUGCUAGGCCGCAACUGACACUGAGGGACGAAAGCU
rnacentral:rRNA from 1 species